GAGUCGUCUUUUAGAUGACGAAGUGGUUGAUGCCAUGCUUCCAAGAAAAGCUUCUAAGCUUCAGGUAAUCAGGAACCGUACCCCAAACCGACACAGGUGGUCGGGUAGAGAAUACCAAGGCGCUUGAGAGAACUCGGGUGAAGGAACUAGGCAAAAUGGCACCGUAACUUCGGGAGAAGGUGCGCCGGCUAGGGUGAAGGAUUUACUCCGUAAGCUCAGGCUGGUCGAAGAUACCAGGCCGCUGCGACUGUUUAUUAAAAACACAGCACUCUGCAAACACGAAAGUGGACGUAUAGGGUGUGACGCCUGCCCGGUGCCGGAAGGUUAAUUGAUGGGGUUAGCGCAAGCGAAGCUCUUGAUCGAAGCCCCGGUAAACGGCGGCCGUAACUAUAACGGUCCUAAGGUAGCGAAAUUCCUUGUCGGGUAAGUUCCGACCUGCACGAAUGGCGUAACGAUGGCGGCGCUGUCUCCACCCGAGACUCAGUGAAAUUGAAAUCGCUGUGAAGAUGCAGUGUAUCCGCGGCUAGACGGAAAGACCCCGUGAACCUUUACUGUAGCUUUGCACUGGACUUUGAGCCUGCUUGUGUAGGAUAGGUGGGAGGCUUUGAAGCGUGGACGCCAGUUCGCGUGGAGCCAUCCUUGAAAUACCACCCUGGCAUGCUUGAGGUUCUAACUCUGGUCCGUGAUCCGGAUCGAGGACAGUGUAUGGUGGGCAGUUUGACUGGGGCGGUCUCCUCCUAAAGAGUAACGGAGGAGUACGAAGGUGCGCUCAGACCGGUCGGAAAUCGGUCGCAGAGUAUAAAGGCAAAAGCGCGCUUGACUGCGAGACAGACACGUCGAGCAGGUACGAAAGUAGGUCUUAGUGAUCCGGUGGUUCUGUAUGGAAGGGCCAUCGCUCAACGGAUAAAAGGUACUCCGGGGAUAACAGGCUGAUACCGCCCAAGAGUUCAUAUCGACGGCGGUGUUUGGCACCUCGAUGUCGGCUCAUCACAUCCUGGGGCUGAAGCCGGUCCCAAGGGUAUGGCUGUUCGCCAUUUAAAGUGGUACGCGAGCUGGGUUUAGAACGUCGUGAGACAGUUCGGUCCCUAUCUGCCGUGGACGUUUGAGAUUUGAGAGGGGCUGCUCCUAGUACGAGAGGACCGGAGUGGACGAACCUCUGGUGUUCCGGUUGUCACGCCAGUGGCAUUGCCGGGUAGCUAUGUUCGGAAAAGAUAACCGCUGAAAGCAUCUAAGCGGGAAACUUGCCUCAAGAUGAGAUCUCACUGGGAACUUGAUUCCCCUGAAGGGCCGUCGAAGACUACGACGUUGAUAGGCUGGGUGUGUAAGCGUUGUGAGGCGUUGAGCUAACCAGUACUAAUUGCCCGUGAGGCUUGACC
rnacentral:rRNA from 1 species